AACUGACCCCAGUUCUGGCCCCCGCUAGAGCAGAGGUUCGCGCUGGUGGAGCACCCCAGCUUGCAGGUUCAGCGUGGGUGUCUCUCCCGGGCACAUCGAGCUGUCUAGAGGAACCCUCUUCCCCUGGCUUCACGGCCCAGAGGACGCACGGCUCUCUCCCCUCGAGAGCGUGUUUCGUCGCCCGCGCGGGGAACGCAAAGUGCUAGGGUAGUCACGGCCACUUCACGCCGAGGGACAUCUCAUCUCGCCCUCCAGGUCGUGAGCGCACCCAUUCCGCUCACUGAGGCCGAAAGCUUCGGACCUCCGUGGGCCCUGGGGCAAGUACCAGCACCUCAGCCUAGUCGGUGCAGGUGAUAGUUAUGAAGCUAAGUCCUAGGCCAGGAACAAGGCAGCCAGUCCAGCCAGCAUAGUUGACCCCUCUAUGGACUGGGGCCAGUGCAGCCACAGCAUUCCAGUGCUCAGCCCCUCAGCUGGGAGAUCAGCGACUGCUGCCACGUGCCCAGAAAUGGCUCGUCCUUUCACUACAGCGGAAUGCAAUGAGGGUGGGUGAGAAGAUGAUGGGUCGGUUAUUUCAUUCCUUUUCUUUUUACAACUUCACUUUCAGAGACUUCAGCGUUCCAUGUCUGCUGUGCUGUGGAACCCAGAGUGCUCUUGCCUGGAUGGCUGAGAAUCCCUUGGACCCUGGAAGCACCUACUCCAUGAUGGCCCGGUAUAGUGCAGGCUCAAUAUAAUCUUCCCGGUAUCUUGGCAGGAGGACCAAACUGGAGACAGUCCUGGCUCUGAGGAAACAGGAAGGAAGGAGGGUGAAAGGAACGUCCACCUGCACACAAAGGUAACUGUCCUCUACUCAGGGAAGAGUGAACCAGGACAAAGUAACUGUUUUAGAGAGCAAGGCAGCUCUCUGGGCUGAAAAAUGUUAACAGUUAAAGACCUUGCUAAGUCAAAGUCUGCCCCUAUCUCUGCCCUCUCCUGCUUCUAGGUGACCAAAAAAAAAAAAAAAGGAAAGAUGAAAAAGAGUCACCUACCAUGGGACCUGGCAAAGUACUUCAGAACUUUUAUUCCUUCCAGAAGCAGGUAAGUACCCCAAGUCCUCAUCGUAUUCCCAGCAUAGGGCUUGGUAUACGGGGGGAUAUUUCAUUCAGCAUAUUGGCUGAAUGAAAGGUCUGAUAGGUAUACCUGGGAGAAGGUCCUUAGGGACAUGGCUUAAAAAAUGAGAGAGGGGCAGGGCAGUGAGUCUAAAAGGAUGUGGAUGCUCACAUCUGCUCUUACAAUCAUGCUACAGUUCAUUUAUUGAGUGGAAACAGUUCCCUACUUAUUGACAAUUCAUUUACUGAAUAGGUAAUCAGUAAAUACAUUUUGUAUCAAUCUAACAAUUAGGCAUAAACUACAGCCUCCUACACCCAAUAUCUGAGGUGUUCUAAGAUUUAACUACUCAAAUGUUUGAUAUUUGAUAAAUUGUUUAAGUUCUCUGCAAUUCAGUUCCACCUCCUAUAACAGCACUUCUGAAAAUGUGGUCUGUGAACCUCUGAGGGGUUCCUGAGACACUGUCAGGGAGCAAGUGAGACAUGGCUAUUUUUAUAAUAUUAAACUAUUAGCCUUUGUCACUGUGUUGUCAUUUACCUAGGAUAGGUAGAUUCCACACUGCAACUAACUUUUAAGAACCUGCCAGGAGCGUGUAUCACAAUAGAUUGAAUCAAGAAGUGACAUUAAGGCCAGCGCGGUGGCUCACGCCUGUAAUCCCACCACUUUGGGAGGCCGAGGCGGGCGGAUCACGAGAUCAGGAGAUCAAGACCAUCCUGGCUAACAUGGUGAAACCCCAUGUCUACUAAAAAUACAAAAAAUUAGCCGGGCAUGGUGGCGGGCGCCUGUAGUCCCAGCUACUCGGGAGGCUGAGGCAGGAGAAUGGCGUGAACCUGGGAGGUGAAGCCUGCAGUGAGCCAAGAUCAUGCCACCGUACUCCCGUACUCCAGCCGGUCUGACCCAAGCCCCACUUACUCUGAGAGGUCUAUUCAACGGACAUCCUUAAGAAUUAAAGUAAGUUUUGGACAUUUUGGGAAACCAGCAUGCAUCAAGAGGAGAAGAACGAAAAUGGUGACAACUCUUAAAACCAUGCUACGUGAGAAACAAGAAUGUCAGGAAGACUCAGCAAGAGGACAGCAUGAACUGUAGUGAACAGUAGUCAACAGUAGGAUGGAUGAAAUGGCCCGGGGCCUCUGCGAAGGAAGAAUUGCUAGGUGGCAACUGGGAGUUAAAGAGACUCGCUUUCCAAAGUUUGUACCUUUCUGGCUGGAACUUUCUCACAAACACAUCCAUGGAGAUCUUCACCAUGUCCUUUCUACAGGAGCACUGUCAGCAGGAACCAGAAGAGCACCAGAAAGAAAUCAAGCAGACUUACCAGCACAGCUUGCUUGCCGUACUCAAUCCACCGACGGGUAGCAAAAUUGGUAGACUCCGCACAGUUAAAACCAUGGUUAAAGCCGGCAUGGUAACCAUAAGGGAAAGUGAUCAUAAACUCUCCAGCCUCUUGAGUCACCUGAACAAGAGCAGACUUGAAGCAGCUGCUUCAAAUGGCAGAAGUCCACAGAACUGGAAUUCUGAGCUCCACCACAACUUAGCUGAGUAACAAAGGGUAAGUCAUAAAACCCCUGGGGUCC
rnacentral:lncRNA from 1 species